CGUAGGAGACAAACGUUAUCCGGAGUUACUGGGCGUAAAGGGCGUGCAGGUGGUCUGUUAAGUCUGGCGUGAAAGCUCUCGGCUAAACCGGGAGGGGUCGUUGGAUACUGGCGGACUAGAGGACGGUAGAGGCGUGUGGAAUUCCGGGUGUAGUGGUGAAAUGCGUAGAGAUCCGGAGGAACACCAGUGGCGAAGGCGACACGCUGGGCCGUACCUGACACUAAUACGCGACAGCAUGGGGAGCGAACGGGAUUAGAAACCCCGGUAGUCCAUGCCGUAAACGAUGCCAGCUAGGUGUUCAAGACGCGCAAGCGGCUGGGGUACCGAAGCUAACGCGAUAAGCUGGCCGCCUGGGGAGUACGGUCGCAAGGCUA
rnacentral:rRNA from 1 species